rnacentral:misc_RNA from 1 species
AAGUCGUAACAAGGUUUCCGUAGGUGAACCUGCGGAAGGAUCAUUAAAACGUAUCCAACGUUAACCAACUGUGAACUUGUUUCUCCCUGUGCAUUGAAAAAUUGGAGCUGUAUGUGAAAUUGAGUGGGAUCCCUUAAACAAGGAUCGGUCAUAUACAGUCACUGUAUUUUACUUUAUUGUAAAGUACGACAAGAGUAUCUUUGUAGAGGCAUUUCUCUCUGUUUUCACCCUCCAUUCAAAGGUGAGGCAGAGGGGUCAUUCAUUACACCAUAAUCACCCCUUUUUGCUAGUUGACUUUUUUAAUGUUGAUGCUUACGAAAGUAGACGUCACACGUUUCAUUAUUUGAACGUAAAAUACAACUCUUAGCAAUGGAUAUCUUGGUUCUC